GACGAACGCUGGCGGCGUGCUUAACACAUGCAAGUCGAACGGAAAGGCCCUGCUUUUGUGGGGUGCUCGAGUGGCGAACGGGUGAGUAACACGUGAGUAACCUGCCCUUGACUUUGGGAUAACUUCAGGAAACUGGGGCUAAUACCGGAUAGGAGCUCCUGCUGCAUGGUGGGGGUUGGAAAGUUUCGGCGGUUGGGGAUGGACUCGCGGCUUAUCAGCUUGUUGGUGGGGUAGUGGCUUACCAAGGCUUUGACGGGUAGCCGGCCUGAGAGGGUGACCGGCAACAUUGGGACUGAGAUACGGCCCAGACUCCUACGGGAGGCAGCAGUGGGGAAUAUUGCACAAUGGGCGGAAGCCUGAUGCAGCAACGCCGCGUGCGGGAUGACGGCCUUCGGGUUGUAAACCGCUUUCGCCUGUGACGAAGCGUAAGUGACGGUAAUGGGUAAAGAAGCACCGGCUAACUACGUG
rnacentral:rRNA from 1 species